rnacentral:rRNA from 1 species
AUACGUAGGGGGCGAGCGUUGUCCGGAAUGAUUGGGCGUAAAGGGCGCGUAGGCGGCGCGGUAAGUCUGGAGUGAAAGUCCUGCUUUCAAGGUGGGAAUUGCUUUGGAUACUGCCGCGCUUGAGUGCAGGAGAGGUUAUCGGAAUUUCCGGUGUAGCGGUGAAAUGCGUAGAGAUCGGGAGGAACACCAGCGGCGAAGGCGGGUAACUGGACUGAAACUGACGCUGAGGCGCGAAAGUGUGGGGAGCAAACAGGAUUAGAUACCCUGGUAGUCCACACUGUAAACGAUGAAUGCUAGGUGUAAGAGGUAUCGACCCCUUUUGUGCCGGAGUCAACACAAUAAGCAUUCCGCCUGGGGAGUACGGCCGCAAGGUUGAAACUCAAAGGAAUUGACGGGG